rnacentral:rRNA from 1 species
CCUACGGGGGGCAGCAGUGGGGAAUAUUGCACAAUGGGGGAAACCCUGAUGCAGCGACGCCGCGUGAGUGAAGAAGUAUUUCGGUAUGUAAAGCUCUAUCAGCAGGGAAGAAAAUGACGGUACCUUGUUAAGAAACCCCGGCUAAAUACGUGCCAGCAGCCGCGGUAAUACGUAGGGGGCAAGCGUUAUCCGGAUUUCCUGGGUGUAAAGGGAGCGUAGACGGCAGUGCAAGUCUGAAGUGAAAGGCGGGGGCUUAACCCCCGGACUGCUUUGGAAACUGUACCGCUAGAGUGCAGGAGAGGUAAGUGGAAUUCCUAGUGUAGCGGUGAAAUGCGUAGAUAUUAGGAGGAACACCAGUGGCGAAGGCGGCUUACUGGACUGUAACUGACGUUGAGGCUCGAAAGCGUGGGGAGCAAACAGGAUUAGAUACCCCGGUAGUC